rnacentral:rRNA from 1 species
UACGGAGGAUCCGAGCGUUAUCCGGAUUUAUUGGGUUUAAAGGGUGCUUAGGCGGCAUUUUAAGUCAGUGGUGAAAUUUAUAGGCUCAACCUAUAGCUUGCCAUUGAUACUGGGGUGCUUGAAUAGGUUCGAGGAUGGCGGAAUGUGACGAGUAGCGGUGAAAUGCAUAGAUAUGUCACAGAACACCGAUUGCGUAGGCAGCUAUCCAGGUCUUUAUUGACGCUGAAUCACGAAAGCGUGGGGAUCAAACAGG